GACGAACCGUGCGAACGUUGUUCGGAAUCACUGGGCUUAAAGGGCGCGUAGGCGGCUUGCCAAGUCCGGGGUGAAAUCCUCCAGCUUAACUGGAGAAGUGCCUUGGAUACUGGCGAGCUCGAGCGAGGCAGGGGUGAUGGGAACUUCCGGUGGAGCGGUGAAAUGCGUAGAUAUCAAGAGGAACACCUGCGGCGAAGGCGGGUUGCUGGGCCGACACUGACGCUGAGGCGCGAAAGCCAGGGGAGCGAACGGG
rnacentral:rRNA from 1 species